rnacentral:rRNA from 1 species
UACGUAGGGGGCAAGCGUUGUCCGGAUUUAUUGGGCGUAAAGAGCGUGUAGGCGGCCAGACAGGUCAGCUGUGAAAACUCGAGGCUCAACCUCGAGACGUCGGUUGAAACCGUCUGGCUAGAGUCCGGAAGAGGAGAGUGGAAUUCCCGGUGUAGCGGUGAAAUGCGCAGAUAUCGGGAAGAACACGCGUGGCGAAGGCGGCUCUCUGGGACGGUACUGACGCUGAGACGCGAAAGCGUGGGGAGCGAACAGG